UACGAAGGGUGCAAGCGUUACUCGGAAUUACUGGGCGUAAAGCGUGCGUAGACGGUUGCAUAAGUCGGAUGUGAAAUCCCCGGGCUCAACCUGGGAAUUGCAUUCGAGACUGUGUAGCUGGGGUGCGGAAGAGGGAAGCGGAAUUUCCGGUGUAGCGGUGAAAUGCGUAGAUAUCGGAAGGAACAUCAGUGGCGAAAGCGGCUUCCUGGUCCAGCACCGACGUUCAGGCACGAAAGCGUGGGGAGCAAACAGG
rnacentral:rRNA from 1 species